AUGUGAUGUGACAUGCCCGUUGGGUUUACUCUGAUAUUGAAUUAUUAUUAUUAUUUAAUUGAUUUUGGGAAACGGGGUGUUACAAUUGG
rfam:Medicago truncatula strain A17 chromosome 8, whole genome shotgun sequence.